AAACUAACAACAAACAAAUGGUAUUUAUCCGGCUGUAAGAUCUUCUAUUUCCUUCACUUCCCCAGGAGAUGCUGGAUAAUGAUGUUGUGAAGCCGAUGAAUCAAAGCUGGUGGAAGAAUUAGGAAUGGAUUCCGGAGCCCAUGUCCUGGCUUUGGGAGAAGGUUGGCUGCUUAACUGAAAUUAGAACUGGGAUGUUAAAGCAUCUAUGGAGUGAGUCAAAUCCACCAAGGCCGCAUAGAAGGAGAAACAAGCACGAAGCCGAGAACACCAGCCUGAAGACAAUGAAUGAGACUUCGUGGAAACGUUGCCAAGAAACCUCCAAUUUUACGCGGGAGAAAACCCGAAUAACCAAAGACCUACAUACAGACACCCGCGAAAACCUCAGAAAACAAAUAUAUAUAUAUAUAUUGUUGUGGAAAGGAUUUUAAUGCCUCUAUUUCUUUGGGUUAAAAUGGUAAAGACCAACCUGGAGUCAGAUAAUAGAAUGAC